GUGUUUAUUCACUAUUUACGAAUCAUCAUUUUAUCAUUUUUGUAUAUACCUCACAUAUUUACUUAUUUCAGCACAACACUUUACACAUGUGUAACAUACAUAUGAGAUGACAUUUCACUUGCGAAAGGAAAAAUAAUCUUUAGAAUUUUCACCAAGUAUGCAUAAAAAUGAAAUUACAUUACGAACAAAAAUAAGUACAAGAGCUAAUUAAAUCAAGAAGUUAGCUAUGCCCUCAAGUACCAAAUCCUCUUGAAGAUUUUUGGAGCCCGGAAGACUAUGCCAUUUUCUUUCAAAUGGAGACAACAAAUUCUCUUUAUCGAUUAAUUAAGCAGAAGUGAUUUGUCUAAUUAAUUAAUGAGAAAUCGCACAAAAAAAGAUACAAACCCAUCAGAUGUGAACCACUUAAUGAGCAUACAAUCCCAUAAACUCAUGAUCAGCCCAACAACUAAACUCAACACGUAACGACUACAACCCCCCNN
rnacentral:lncRNA from 1 species